CUGCGGCAGCGACGCUUAUGCGUUGUUGGGUAGGGGAGCGUUCUGUAAGCCUGUGAAGGUGUGUCGUGAGGCAUGCUGGAGGUAUCAGAAGUGCGAAUGCUGACAUAAGUAACGAUAAAGCGGGUGAAAAGCCCGCUCGCCGGAAGACCAAGGGUUCCUGUCCAACGUUAAUCGGGGCAGGGUGAGUCGACCCCUAAGGCGAGGCCGAAAGGCGUAGUCGAUGGGAAACGGGUUAAUAUUCCCGUACUUGGUGUUACUGCGAAGGGGGGACGGAGAAGGCUAUGUUGGCCGGGCGACGGUUGUCCCGGUUUAAGCGUGUAGGUGUGUGUUCCAGGUAAAUCCGGUUCACUUUAACACUGAGGCGUGAUGACGAGGCACUACGGUGCUGAAGUAACAAAUGCCCUGCUUCCAGGAAAAGCCUCUAAGCAUCAGGUAACAUCAAAUCGUACCCCAAACCGACACAGGUGGUCAGGUAGAGAAUACCAAGGCGCUUGAGAGAACUCGGGUGAAGGAACUAGGCAAAAUGGUGCCGUAACUUCGGGAGAAGGCACGCUGACACGUAGGUGAAGUGAUUUACUCACGGAGCUGAA
rnacentral:rRNA from 1 species